rnacentral:rRNA from 1 species
AUUGAACGCUGGCGGCAUGCCUUACACAUGCAAGUCGAACGGUAACAGGUUAAGCUGACGAGUGGCGAACGGGUGAGUAAUGUAUCGGAACGUGCCCAGUCGUGGGGGAUAACUGCUCGAAAGAGCAGCUAAUACCGCAUACGACCUGAGGGUGGAAGCGGGGGAUCGCAAGACCUCGCGCGAUUGGAGCGGCCGAUAUCAGAUUAGGUAGUUGGUGAGGUAAAGGCUCACCAAGCCGACGAACUGUAGCUGGUCUGAGAGGACGACCAGCCACACUGGGACUGAGACACGGCCCAGACUCCUACGGGAGGCAGCAGUGGGGAAUUUUGGACAAUGGGCGCAAGCCUGAUCCAGCCAUGCCGCGUGCGGGAAGAAGGCCUUCGGGUUGUAAACCGCUUUUGUCAGGGAAGAAAAGGUUCUGGCUAAUACCUGGGACUCAUGACGGUACCUGAAGAAUAAGCACCGGCUAACUACGUG